rnacentral:lncRNA from 1 species
UUUUUUUUUUUCAAUUGCUCAAGCAGUUUAAGUGACACUUGUUUUGAGUGUGAUACCAAUACAGAGGCUGGACUGUGUACCUAUGCUAUGAAGUUGAUUAGGGAUACGGAGAAUUUCUGAGCAUGUUCCUUCUUUUAAAGUGUCUGUUUGAUGUAGUAAAUGUUUGUUUGGUACUAUGUACCAAACACUAGAAGACUAUGAUGUAUAAGACAGUCUACCCAAGUUGUUCAUAGGUCAUGUUGGCCUGCCUUACUCCCAAUCCAGAUACAUAAGCAAAACGAUAGUCUGCUUUGGUAAUCAUUGCCUCACUUCUUAAUCCUCAACGUAAUAUCUUCCAUGACUCAAACCCAUGGCCACAGAUGAUUAGGCCACAGAUGGAUACAUGGCCCAGACUGGGUGAACCAGUCAAAUUCUAUUCUGAGUAUGAGAAUUAAGACUCUGAAUAUUGAAUCAAUUAGGAAUUGGGGGAACUUGGACCAAAAGGACAUGUAAAAUCAGAACUAUAAUCAACAUCUUGGUAAUUAAGCCUCUAGAAUCAAGCCCAAAAUUAAUGAUCUGAUAUUGCUUCCCACUAAGACAUCUUCUCUAAUCAUGCUACUCCCACAAACAGCUAUUCCCAUUUAUAUCUAUGGGUUUUUACUCAUUUUUUUCUCCCAUCACCUUUUCCUUUCUAAGUAAAUAAAAAAUUUUUCAUCUUUCAAGAACAACCUGAAGCCCUACUUCUUGACCAUUCUGGACAACUUAUUUCUCAGAAACUCCAGUAGUAGUGGUAAUGAUAAUUAUAAUAACAAUGGCAAUAAUAGCCUGCCUUUAUUGAGUAUAUAGUAUAUUGAAGCACUGUUUCAAGUUCCAUACAUAUAUUACUUAAUUUAUAAUAACCUCAUGAGCUAGUACAAUUAUUAUCACCAUUUUAUAGAAGAGGAAACUGAGGCAGAGAAAGUAAUUUGCCCACUAAGAUAUGGUGCAGUACAUAAAGGCCACACAUGUUAGAUUUCAUAUACUGUCUCAUCUUUACAUAUGCUCUCUCUUUUAAUCCUUAUAGCAACACUCAUAAAUAGGUUGUAUUAUCCUCAUGCUGAAGAUGAGAAAAAUGAAACUCAGAGAAAUAAAGGACAUUAUUCAAGGUUAUACAUAAGAGUAUGCAGCACUUCAAAAGUAAAGCCUGGGUAGCAUACCUACACUCCCUUGAUUCCUAAGCACUAUAUUACUUAUAAGAUUCUGACGAUCAGGGCUACAUCUUAUCCUUUUGGAUACAGUGCCCACAAAAUAAUUCAAUAAACAGAAAAUAAGAUGCUCUAAAAACAUUUUUUCUAACAAG